rnacentral:rRNA from 1 species
GAUGAACGCUGGCGGCGUGCCUAAUACAUGCAAGUCGAGCGAACAGACGAGGAGCUUGCUCCUCUGACGUUAGCGGCGGACGGGUGAGUAACACGUGGAUAACCUACCUAUAAGACUGGGAUAACUUCGGGAAACCGGAGCUAAUACCGGAUAAUAUAUUGAACCGCAUGGUUCAAUAGUGAAAGACGGUUUUGCUGUCACUUAUAGAUGGAUCCGCGCCGCAUUAGCUAGUUGGUAAGGUAACGGCUUACCAAGGCAACGAUGCGUAGCCGACCUGAGAGGGUGAUCGGCCACCCUGGAACUGAGACACGGUCCAGACUCCUACGGGAGGCAGCAGUAGGGAAUCUUCCGCAAUGGGCGAAAGCCUGACGGAGCACCGCCGCGUGAGUGAUGAAGGUCUUCGGAUCGUAAAACUCUGUUAUUAGGGAAGAACAAAUGUGUAAGUAACUAUGCACGUCUUGACGGUACCUAAUCAGAAAGCCACGGCUAACUACGUG